AUGGCAUUGCCAGUAACAAUUUUUUAUUUACAUAUGUUUCAAUCUGUCUCUAAAUAUUUUUAUGUGUACUCUUUCAAUACUUGGCUUGCUCUCGCCCUUUGCGCCAUUGGCGCAACGGGUCAUCUAGUAGCCCUUAACAGUCUCGUGCAGGAUGCAGGUGCAGCAGCACGCCGACGCAGAUGCCGCUUCUCGGCCUGCAACCAGUUAGCUCCAGACACACCGUUAAUCCAUGGCUCGUUGGCGGCUGCAACGUGGGACCCGUACCGUACAGUCCGGAAUCACGGGCACGGGCUCCAGGCCCGAGCAACCGCCAUGGAUUACCCACGAAUUUAG
rnacentral:rRNA from 1 species